UCUUUUGGAACCCAACAAUGGACACCACUGCUGACCUCUGGAUGUGUGCUGUGGACCUGCAGCUGUUCAAAGCCAAUGAGAGCUACGGAUUUCUUUGAUCAUCAUUGGAGCUUUCAGUGUACAUAGAGGUGACAGUGACACUGUGACAGGGUGGAGAUGAAAAUAGAAGUAAAUGGUGGCAUUGUUUUUUUCUUUUUCUUUUAUAGGAUUGAAAGCUUUCUUCUUGACAGCAAUGAGUGACAGCCAGUCUAAUUGUCCUUAAUCGUGUAAGCCUGUGAAAUGCGUACUUUUUGGGAUUACAGAGCAGAAUCGCGUGUCCAGAUGUAUCUGGUAGACCGUCAGGAAAUCAGCUGAGGUACUGUACUGCAGGGAUGAAACUGGAAAAAUUCGCUCAAGAACGGAGAUUUCGUCAAGAUGACAUCUGCAUAAGGAGUUGAGGAAAGUGUCCUCCAUUGGCAGGUCCUGCACCUCAGAGGCACAUCACAAGAGACGGUCUUGUUCAUUUCAUUGAAGAUUUGCAGUGCUGCAUUGCACCAGGACCCUUCAACGUAAUAAGCAGUGGCACUGGAAAGACACUAAGAAGGUUUUAAGAAGUGAGACUGUUUCAUCAUUGCAGAAUAAACACCAUGAUUGGUAUGAGUAACCAAAGAAUGCAUUGCCAGCAUACAUUUUUUGCAUUUUAUUGGGCAGUCAUUCACCUUUUUCAGCAAUGGCACCAGAACUAUAAAGAGAAGAGCGGAAGUGCAGUGGUUUAUGUUAACAUGGUGCCAGAGUGCUGCGGAGAAAUUGCCAUGAUAAUCACACAGGUCCUCCUGGGAAUUCGAGUGAAGUUAAAUGAGGUGAAAGCCUUCAGCCAUAUGAUGAUGAGCAGAGAGGCGGACGACAACGAUGAGGUCCCUGUGAAAUCAAAGUGGCGUCAUCAGAGGAGAAACAGCAUUGACCAGGAAUAUCCAACAUUUGCAGCACCAUCUUCCCCAUCCUUAAUAAAACAGCCAUUGAACAUUUUAAGGGACAGCUGCCUCCACACUCCAGACCAGUCUUUGGAGUCCAUCUGCCAGAAUCCAUCUCGAUGAGUCCUGGAUGCUCCUGUCCCCAUGCACCUGAAUACUGAAGAUGAAUUAAAACAAGUGACUACAGCAAGCUAUUCUUGGCCUCUAAGGAUAUCUUGUUUUUUAAUAAGUAAGAUUAAUAUCUGCUAAAAAUGUUUCAUGGGAGUGCACACAAUUUUAUCUUUUAGCUUAUCUUUGUUGGGUAUAACACAAAAUUGAAAAACAGGAAUAUAUCUGAGUUCCUGUAGGAUCAAAGGAAAAUUCUUAUUGUUAAAAUCUAAAAUGUUAAUGUGGUUUUACUUUUUCAGUCAAAUUUAGAUUUAUGUAAUUGCAUAGAAUAAAAUGAUGAUUGUUGAGCAUAUUAUGUACAUUUUAAUCAACUUAAAAUUUUCCUUUGUAUACUGUAUAUACUCCUGUUCCUUAAUUUUACACUGUGCUUGGCUUAUUAGAUACAAUAUUUUGAUUUGCUCCUUUACUGUUCAAAAAUUUUGCAGAUUUUUUUGCAGAUAUUUUAUUUUAGGUAACAUUAUUUGAAGCAUAAUCCUUAAGAGUAAUUGAAUAUGUAAGACAAAUUUUAUAUGUAAAGAUCUAGAGACAAAGACAAGGCAGAGCAGAAGGUAAAGUACAAGAUCUUUCAUAUAAACAAACACUUGCUACAUUGUUCAGUUUGAUUUCAAUUUAUGUUGUGUAGCGUUCCUGACUUGACUGUUUACAGGCUCAGAGUGCUUCCAGUGUUCAGCUUCAGAGGACAAUGAUAAAUUUACCAGUACAUUAAACUAGUAAACAGCUAAGCGGUUUGAGAAAGAAGGGAGUACUCUCCAGGGUCAUUCCUUGCCUCAUCCAUAGGGUUGCCAGAUUACAACAUUAGAAAUACGGGACACUCUUAAAAUCUCUCUCUAUAUUCCUAUAUACAUUUUUAUACAUGCAAUUUUAUACAAUUUUAUACAUGCCCCCUACACACCCAAAUCAAUUGUAUAAAAGUAGAGACAUACGUUAAAAACAAAAAGCAAGGAUUUUAAUGGGUUAUGAGGAAAACAAAAGUAAAAUCAUUUGAAAAUGGUUUACUGAAAGUGCAAUUACAUACACCACAGUUUGCUUCAAAACAGCUUCUGCCUUGUUUGAUAAAUGUCCAUUCGCUGGAAUAUUCAUCAUGAAAUUUACACUUACGUUUUGGCAUCUUGGGAUGGAUGGAUAGAUUAGUUUUUAAGUUAGAAAAAAAGUGGGCCUUGCCAAGUAGUAACAACACACUCUGUUGACAGUCACUGUAUGUCGUAAUGCUGAUACAGAACUGCACAGCAGCGCGGCUGGAGAGUAAAACAGUAAGUGUUGCUAUCCUGAGCCAACCAGAGCAACGGAACAAGCUGCAAACAGGCAGCAAACAUUCAUUUCCUCUUUACAUUUGGGUUAUUUUCAUCAAGAGAAACUGAAAAAAUAAAGUAUAAUUACUUGUAAAGUUAAAACUAAGUACCAUAAGAAGGUAGUAAAAAUAUUUUUUUAUUACAAAAUUUGAAAAUGAACUAAAUAUGGGACAUUUGGUUGUCCCUGAAAAGUCAGUACGGAACAGGGGACAAAAUUAUCAAAUAUGGGACAUGUCCUGUAUAUAAGGGAUGUCUGGCAACCCUACUCAUCCACCAUGUUGUCAGGAAUUCCAUUAGUGUCCCACAGCCUUGAACUGGAUUUAGUGGGUGUGAGUUUGCCACCACCUCACUCUGCUGCUUGUCAUCUGUCUCUAGUUCUAAAUUUUAUUGUACCUUUUCAUUAUGGCUCAUGAUAAUGUGUAUUAUUUUGUAGUAUUUAUGUUCAACUUUUUACACUAUUUAUAUUCAACUUCACUCACCCUUAUUUGUGUCUCAUUUCAAUCAAUGGGUCACUUUAAAGGGGCUCUCGUCUUUAGGUGGAAGUGAAACGUUUGGGCUGCACUUGUGAAUUUAUGAGAUGGCUACAUAUCUGUUACGCUCGCUGGGAUUGACAGGCGUGAUCAAGCAACCCAGAAUUAGGCGAGUAUAAAUACAACAUACAAAAACAAAUCUCAUACUCCAAAAAAUGUUUUCUCUAAAAGAAAUUGCGUUGAGCAUAUCAUGGAAAAUUGGAAAAAACUGGUUAUAAUGACAAAGCGUUAUUGAGAUAAGAUCACUACUUGUUUAAUAUUUGCAAAACGUUCCUCUAAUGCAGAGACACCACUUUUCUUUUGGUAUCUAUAAUCUGUCAUUUUGUUCUUGGUUUUUUUGUUUUCUAUUUUCUGUUUUGUUCCGUUUUUUUAAUUAUUGCAGGAGCGAUUUUAGACAUACACAUAGCUGACCACAUUGAGUCAGUUGAGCAAAGUGAGUUUCUGCCACUGCAAAGGAUUCCUUUUAUCAAUCUAGUGUUAAGGUUUGCUAUGGAUUAACACCACAUGGAUCCCUUUAUGUCACUCCAACGACACAGGUAUUUUAAUUUUCCGUUAACAUCAAUGGGACAUGCAUGUUGGAUUACUUGGUGACUGCAAAUUAGCCCUGUGUAAAUGUGAUUGUUAGAGACAAGAAUGGAUAGGCUUUGCUCCCCAACAAUCCUGAAGUGUGAUUCAGGGUUAUGGGGGAGAAAGACUCCCAUAUGGACAGAUAUGGACUGCCAUAUCUGUAACAUGCAAAGGGACAACUUUUUUUUCAAGCAAUGCUUUGGCCUCUAUUAGAAUAUUUUUGCUUUUCCUUGAUGCUCCUCUAUCAGUUGUCUCAAUGCAAGGACUGUAUCAGUUGUUCCUCUCCCUGCCAUAAAACCAAACUGCUCUUCCCCUAUGGUAACCCCUUUCCUAAGCUUUCUCUCUGUAACGCUUUUUCCAAGUUAUAAUUGUGUGUGACCUCAGCUUUAUCCCACUGUAGUUUCCACAAUCCUGAAUCUUUAUAAAUGGGUGCAAUUCCACUGUUCCUCCACUCCUCUGGUAUUCUCUGCUGUUUGUAGAUCUUCUACAUUAGAUACUACAAGACAUCUGUUCCUUCUCCUAAACUCUUCCAGACCUCUGCUGGUGUUUUAUUCAGUCCUGCUGCCUUUCCAUUUUUCCUUUCUUAUCAGUGCCUCUAGUGCUUCUGAAAUACAUUCAAACAAGAAGGAAAAACUAAUUAUCUCUCUUACCAUCAUGCUUGCGGGGAUGAGAAAAGAAAGGUAAGGGGUGGAGAGAGGGCACUGAUACAGGGAUGUUCUUUCAUUUGUUUGCUUAACUCAAAAUUACUAAAACUAGGUGUUCUCUGGGGUGGAAAGUUACUCUGUUCAGGGUUGGUUCCUGUCUUCGACCCAUUACUGAUGAAAUAAAUUAACUCUCUGCAAUAGUGGGCAGAGUGGUGACUCUGAGGCUAGGGAUCUGCACCGGCAAUUAGAAGGCUGCCGGUUCAAGUCCCGUAAAUGCCAGAAGUGUCUCUACUUUGUUGGGAACCAUGAGCAAGGCCCUUAACCUGCAAUUGCUCCGUCCUGGGUAUGACGUUAAUCUGCAUCCAGCCCUGCAUGUAGGCCCUCCAACCUGCAGGGCAAAACUUGGGGGUUGGUGGCAGGAUUGGCACUCCAGCCACCAUAAAAAACCUCACUGUUCCAUUCCAUCUGAACUAGUGUGGUGCUGAGGUGUCACCCGUUGCAUGGUUGUACUCGGGUCCUAGUCUGGGAUCCUGAGUUGGUUUGUCAUGUGGUGGGUGCGGCAUAGUGCUGUAUCAGCGCCUGCUCCUAACCUCUGUACAAUGCUAAAAUUCUUCUUCUGUACAUCCAUCCAUUACUUCAUCACUACAUUCAUUAUUGUACAGUGUUAAUCCAAUACAAAUUUUCAUUGGAAGUUUCAUCAUUAUAUUUGGGUACAAGAGCAACAUUUAGAGAUGAGACAACUGUGCAUUUUAUGGAACACGCGCAAACUCGCUCGGAUGUAUUGGUAAAGAGGGCACAUUUUAAGGACACCAGUUAAAAUUCACACCUUUUGAGCAGUGGCAGGAAAUCAGAGUACACAAACUCGCAAAGGGGAAAAUGUACAAGUACCUCACAUUUAUUACCCACAGCUUCAAUUCAUGAAGAGCUAGCUAUACUGCACUGUGGUGAUCAUUUUCCUUUGGAGUCAAAUUUAAGGCUUGGUUGUCUUCAGUGUCCACAUUGUGAUAGUAAUUUAGGUAUCAAUUUAGGUUAGGUGUCCCUAAUACACUGUACAUGCCAUGUAAUUACCUGUAUAGUUAGUAAGUACGAGUUAAUAAUAUCUAGUUAUUCUAUGUGACUUUUUCUUGUUGCUGCAUAUGAAAAAAGAACUCAAACAAAAGCGUUUUUGUAUCAUGGAGGAAGUCAAAGAAAAAUCGCUGCAGGCAACGUUCCACAGCAGCGAUUCCAAAAAUGUUUCCACCAAUGGGAAAACGGUUGGGACAAGUGCAUUAACUCACAUGGAAAGUACUUUGAAGGAGACUAAAGUUUCAGUAAGUAAUAAUUAUUAAACCAAUUUUUUUUUUUCAAUUCCGGUUAUUUUUUGAGUACCCCUUGCAUAUAAAUCGUUGAAGAACAAUUACAAUUGAGUACUUAACCCCACAGCAUUACAUUGUGUUAUGGACUAAAUGUAAGGCAAUAACACCUAAUUACUUUAUAAUUACAUGGCAAGUGCAGCGUAAUUAAGGCCACCUAGAGAUACUGUCAUUUAUUUGGCAACUUUUCGUGCCCAAACCACUUCACAACAAUUCAAAACGAACAGGAAAAAAAUCUCAAAUACACAAAACUAGAUGCAAAUAGUGUCAGUGUAAAAACGCAAAUCGGUGUAGAUCAAACCAUAAGCUUUCUGUUGGAUUUCUGUUUGCUAGUAUAUCUAUCUAUCUAAUUAUGUGCAAACAGCUGAACCAAUUUCAAAACUUUUUUGCAUGCGCCUUGCUGUUGGUCCAACUUAAAAUACAGGCUACAUGGAGUAUCAGCCUGAGGGUUUACAAUGGGAGGGUGGGCCACUCAACAAAACAGGACUGAUGUGGAGACUACCGUUCUUAUCAGGCAGCACGAGUAUGUUAAACAAGGAUAUCGUCCUCUGCGUGCAUAAAAUUUUGUAGAGGCCAAAGGAGAAGGUACGUAUAGUAUUUUUUAUUUAAAUCUGUCAUUAUCUUGCAGGAUUACAGCUUCUGCCUAAGAAUAAGUCUUCUCAUCAUUGGAUGUGGAAAAAUUUCCAAAAGACAGUAUUUUCUCCACCUCAGUUUAUGUCCAGUCAAUGCUGGGCACUUAGGCCAGUAAAAUCUAAAUACAGGAAGCAUAAAGCACUGAAUCUGAAUAAAACAAACCACAAUAAAACACAAAAUACUACAAGAAAAGCUCUGAACAAUUUUGGAUGACAAUGCAUAUCAUCCUCAGCACCUGUAAGGAGAGGGUAAACUGAAUAAGAUUCAGAAUGUCAGGAUAAGUUAAAUGCCUUCCUGAACAAGUGAGCUUUAUGCUUCCAUUUAUAGGAAUGACUUUAGUCAGCUGAUCUAAUUUUAGAAGGCCAUUCUAAAG